CUCCCAGCACAGAGCAGGAGCUUGGUGACUGAGUUGCUGUUGUGUGGCCAACAUUCUGCUUCAGUCAGUUGCUCUUGACAGAUGUAAUGAAUGAAUUUGUAAAUAUCUGACACUUUUUCAUGUGAAGAUAGAGUAAAGAGUAAAAAGAUAAUGCUGACUCUUUAGUCUUUUUCCAUGUGUCUUUGUGAUUUCCCCACAGGGAGGUGAAGAAUAUUGAUCAAAGAGCGAAAGACAAAAAAAAGGCAAACCACAUGUUCAUCCAGGCUUCAACCUUCCUUGAGGACACUCCUGAAAAGAAAUCUAGAAGAAGAUAUCAGAGGGAGACUGAGUUUAUUUUGAGGAAGGAAAAGGAAGAGAGGGAUGGAGAAUGGAAACAGAAUUUGACUGACUCUUCCUUCUCACCAUCAAGCACGGAUGAGGACAUGUUGAGCAUGGAAGCCAGGACAUGUCUUUCAGGAUAAUCCUUUGCACAGCGUGGGUCCCAGAUCAUGCCUGCUCGGACCCCUUCCAGAAGUUACUGAGGACUCAUAACCAUAGGCCUCUUGGCAGUUCAAGAUGAAAAGAUCUGUCUGUACUCUUUGUAAAUAUUAGAAGGGAAAAUUGUGGUGAAGAAUUCUUCACACCCUUUAUAAAGGGGGGGGGGGCGGGGAUAAGCGCCAAAGGGAACAUUCAAGAAGCACUAGCUAUAAUAUGGAAUAAAGCAAAUGAGUAAUUGUGUAAUACCCCCA
rnacentral:lncRNA from 1 species